AGGGGAGAUCAUGGAAGGCAAGGGGCAGCCAUGAGGGAAGAUCAUGGAGGAAGAUGAGGGGCAGCCCUGAGGGGAGAUCAAGGAGGAAAAUGAGAGGCGGCCAGUGGGAUCUGAGUGGCAGCCAUGAGGGGGAAUCAUGGAGGAAAAUGAGGGGAGAAUGUGGAGGAAGAUGAGGGGUGGCCGUGAGGAAAGAUCAUGGAGGACGAGGGGCAGCCAUGAGGGGAGAUCGUGCAGAAGGUGAGGGGUGGCCAUGAGGGGAGAUCUUGGAGGAGGUGAGGGGAGAACAUGGAGAAAGAUGAGAGAGGUCCAUGAGGGGAGAAUGUGGAGGAAGAUGAGGGGAGAUCGUGGAGGAAAAUGAGAUGAGAAUGUGGAGGAAGAUGAGGGGGGGUCUAUGAGGGGAGAACAUGGAGGAAAGUGAGGGGCAGCCCUGAGGGGAGAUCACGGAGGAAGAUGAGGGGCAGCCCUGAGGGGAGAUCACGGAGGAAGAUGAGGGGCAGCCCUGAGGGGAGAUCACGGAGGAAGGCGCGGCGCAGCCCAUCCUGCAGGUUUGAAAUAUCUCCUCUCAGGUGUGGCAGCAGAACGAGCCGCCUCCCAAGCAUGUAAUGAGCUGACUGAGAAAACCAAGCCUGAGGAGCUUGGGAGGAAAUUGAGGAGUGUUUCUGGAAAUGGAAGAUUUUGAGUGCAUUGGAGAAGGUAUUUUGUUUUACAAAUUAAAAAAAUAAAGAUAUUUUGUUGGGAAA